GAAGCAGCGCGUCAUAAACAAAGCGUUGCGUAGACCGGUGACAAAUGUCACGAGUGACAUUCGCGACGUGUGUCUGGGGAUGGUUCAGCGAAGAUGGAUGUAAACAAAAGAAAAAGAAUUUUGUUCCCGCACGAAACCGCGAUGUGUGCGACAUUGCGGUGCAGUUUGCUUUAAUGUAUUUAUAAUUUUGUGUUGUUAAAAAUGUAAAUUGAAAAGCAGAUCCCAAACUAUCGCUAUCGUGGAGGUUUGGAACCAGCUGCUAAAGGGCAGUGACUAGUAAGAGAGCAGAGCGGGCAAGUGUGACCUGGGCCUGGCGGAAGAAGACCAAUCUUUUAGCUCGACAUGCACCCACAGAGAGACAGGGUGUCAGCUCAAAAGACUUCUUUUACUCGUCGCAACAAUCUAAAAGAU